rnacentral:rRNA from 1 species
CCCGGUGUAGCGGAGAAAUGGGUAGAGAUUUGGAGGAAUACCGUUGGCGAAGGCGGCCCCCCUGGACGAAGACUGACGCUCAGGUGCGAAAGCGUGGGGAGCAAACAGGAUUAGAUACCCUGGUAGUCCACGCCGUAAACGAUGUCGACUUGGAGGUUGUGCCCUUGAGGCGUGGCUUCCGGAGCUAACGCGUAAAAUUGACCGCCUGGGGAGUACGGCCGCAAGGUUAAAACUCAAAUGAAUUGACGGGGGCCCGCACAAGCGGUGGAGCAUGUGGUUGAAUUCGAUGCAACGCGAAGAACCUUACCUGGUCUUGACAUCCACGGAAGUUUUCAGAGAUGAGAAUGUGCCUUCGGGAACCGUGAGACAGGUGCUGCAUGGCUGUCGUCAGCUCGUGUUGUGAAAUGUUGGGUUAAGUCCCGCAACGAGCGCAACCCUUAUCCUUUGUUGCCAGCGGUCCGGCCGGGAACUCAAAGGAGACUGCCAGUGAUAAACUGGAGGAAGGUGGGGAUGACGUCAAGUCAUCAUGGCCCUUACGACCAGGGCUACACACGUGCUACAAUGGCGCAUACAAAGAGAAGUGACCUCGCGAGAGCAAGCGGACCUCAUAAAGUGCGUCGUAGUCCGGAUUGGAGUCUGCAACUCGACUCCAUGAAGUCGGAAUCGCUAGUAAUCGUGGAUCAGAAUGCCACGGUGAAUACGUUCCCGGGCCUUGUACACACCGCCCGUCACACCAUGGGAGUGGGUUGCAAAAGAAGUAGGUAGCUUUAACCUUCGGGUAUGGCGCUUCCCACUUAAAAACCUUCGGGAGGGCGCUU